CCCAGGGUGGUGUAGUGGUUUGAGUACUGGACAACAAUUCUGGAGACCAGGGUUCAAAUCCCUGCUAGAGAG